rnacentral:rRNA from 1 species
AACGUAGGUACCGAGCGUUAUCCGGAUUUACUGGGCGUAAAGCGCGUUCAGGCGGUGCGGCAAGUCGGGCAUGAAAUCUCUCGGCUCAACCGGGAGAGGUUGUCCGAUACUGGUUGGCUUGAAUCCGGGAGAGGGAUGCGGAAUUCCAGGUGUAGCGGUGAAAUGCGUAGAUAUCUGGAGGAACACCGGUGGCGAAGGCGGCAUCCUGGACCGGCAUUGACGCUGAGGCGCGAAAGCCAGGGGAGCAAACGGG